CGCCCACCUGGCAGCCACGCCCACUUUCUCGGGGCCGCGCUCAGGCCUUCCUCAACUCUCGCGAGACGUGGCGUCCCAGGGCCCGCAGAAGAGUGGUGUCCUCCUGGUGCUGAGCUGUUCCCUGCCCUGAGGCUGGAGUGCAGUGGCUAUUCAAAGGUAUAAUCGUAGGUCUGCAGCCUCGAAGUCCUGGACUCAAGCCGUCUUCUUGCUUCAGCUGGGACUAACAGAUGUUUUCAAGGAAAGGACGUUUAAGAUCCUGCCUUGCCCUUUUGUAUGUGUGGCUAAUCCUGGAGUCCGAGAAGGGAAAAAGAAAAAACCUGAAAAAGUCUCAGGUCUUUGCAAGUUGUUGGAUGUAGACAUCAGUUCCAUGCCACGUGGACCUCUCCAUGGGACAUUUUAUAACAUGGCCACUGGCUUCUCUCAGACGGCAGGAUGGAGGAGGGGACAAAACAGGAAGGAUGUAAUUGUGGAGCAUCCAAGGGUCAUGAGAUGAGAACUGAUGCCUGUAUCCUAAUGCAGAGACAGAAAAAUAACCCUUUAAUCAUGAAUUACUGGCUGCUCUGAAUGAACAUGAUUGAGUAGAGGUUCCUCGGGUUGGAGAAGAGAUGAAGAAGUGUACCCAGUCAAUUGUACCCAGGUAACACCAUACACCACUCUGACCAUCACAAACAGCUAUUUGAAUUACUCAGCAAGCUCCCAACUCAUUCUUUCAAAGCAGACCCUCACACUGGCUCAGUAAAAGAAAUCGUUUGCUUAAAGAUGAUCUGGAGAUAAAUUGCUGCAAUUACAGUUCAGAUGCAGAAUAGAAUAUACAGUACUUAUGAGAGAGAAUGACUUUUAUUCCUUUGGGUAUCCUGAUUUGUUGUAACAGUUGUGAAUUGUGAUCUUCCUCUGAUAAUCUCAAUCCAUAGGACAUUUGGGAGGGAUGAUGAGGCUUCCUUGAUUCAGUCAAACUGGACCUAUCUUACAUUUUACUGGAGAAUAUAAUUUUUUUUUUUUUUUUUUUUUGCCUGUGCCUGCACUCCUGUUGUGGUAUUUUGAAAUGGGUUUGUCUACAUUUGCUAGUGGAAAAUAACAGCACAAGGAGAUGUUUGCUUAAAUUAACAUCUCUUCUUCUGCCCUAUCCCUCUGUCUCCCAAAUGCCAUCCCCACAGUAGAAUGACAAAGCAAUGCAGCCAUUCAUAGUACCGAAAGAUUUUGUUGAAGAUAUUUGCAUAUAAAAAGUACUAGACAUUCUCAUAUGGAGAGGACAAUAUUAAACUUCAUAUAUCUUUUAUUACAAAUUACAUUAGCAAUUAUGAUAAUUCAUAUUUCUUUGGAAUGCUUAUAUCUUGUGGGUACAGUUACCUGAAAGGAAAAAGGAUGCAUAUACAUCCUGGUUUUUCUUGAAAUUGGUAGACUUAUUCCACAACAUUUAUGGCUCCAACAUUUAUGGUUCAUUAUCAUUCUUCUUAUACUUUUCUGCCUCUUUAAUAGCAACUGAACUCUGAGGAAAUAAAUGACUUCAGGAUCCUUUUGGCCCUUUCUUAACACUGAAUCUUGAUGUUUGAAAAUAAAAUCUUGAAAUACAUAUUCUGGAUUUUAAUGAUAAGUCUUGAAAUAGCUGUCCACUGUCUUCAUUUCAGCAUCUCAAAUCUUUCAGUGCUAUCUUUUCUUAACUUUUUUUUUUACAAAAUGCAAAGCUAAUAUAGUUUCUCUUCAGUUUUUAGAAAAAUUAACUAAGUUAGCCUCUUUUUACUACACUAAUGGAAAGAUAUUAAAAUUCAGUUGUUUUUUUAAUGAAUGAAUAGACUUUGAAUAUUCCCUUUCCUACGCUAGCUUACAGUUAUUGGUGUAAAGAAGUUCCCACUUGCUGCUUGCAAAUAUGUUUCUACUUGCCAUUUUUAAAUUACUGUUGCCUUUGGAUGUGGGAGAAUGUCUUCCUUUGUCAAAGUGGCAAUAGGAGGCACAAGUGACAAUCCCUUUUCCUUAAGAUUUGGGACUGCACAAAGCUGUCAGUUUUUAAAAUGACACUGUGGCACAGCCUUUCUUUAAGGUGAUGCCUUUCAUUUUUGACUCCUGCUGUUCCUGACAGUUGAAAUGGCAGCAGGAGGUCGAAACUAAAGUAAGUUCUCUUGGCAUUUGCCCUUAGGUAGAAAUUAAUAAUAGAAGAAGCAGGCCUGUGUUUAAAAACAGUUAGUGUCAGAUGUCACGCAAUGGAAUGUGACCAGUCCCCUAAUGAGAUGACCCAAACUGUCCAUAAUUUGCCAGAGCUAAACUUAAUUCUCACACCUGCUUGCAAUGUUAAUCUGUGUUCUUAUACUUAAAGAACAUUCGAUGUGUUCUGGAAUAUUAUGUUCUGCUUCAAGAAUGAUGCCAAAAACUGCAACUGGAUUUUUCACUAAACCCUAAAUUACUUGUCUGCUUUGAAUUUGCUAAAUUAUGCCUUGUUUUUUUUUUUUACUCUGUGUUUCUAAUUUCUGAUGAAUUUAUGUUCACAUUUCUUCCCCCAUACCCAUUAUUCACAUUUUUUUCAUGUAACAGCCUUAUGUGAUAUCAGGUAGCUCUACUGAUUCAACCUAAGCACUAACUGCAUGUUUUUACAGAUUUAUUAUAACUGUAUGGACUCUUCUAGCUCAGUAGUUUAUGUGUUGCUGAAUUUUAUUGCAUCUCUACUUUGUCUGAUGCAUUCUAGUUCUGCACCAUCAGCUGGUUUGUAUAUAGUAUUUGCAAUUCCUUUCUUUGUGGCUGGAUACUCUAUUCCCAGGGCCUGGGAUCUGGACAUACAAUAGAAUUUAAAUGACCCUCUUCCAAAUCCCACUUUGCUAGUUAAAUUCCCAUAUUCAGCUCUGGGAAUAAGCCAGGGCACUUAGCUAUGUGGUUAUGUAUGAGAUACAUUCCAUCUUUUUGCUCAAUAAAUUUUCACGUCAGUUCCUCUGGUAUCUCAAAAAUGCCUUAGCAUGUACUUUAAACUCUUGCACAAUCUCCCUUUCCUUGCCUGAGCUGAUGUAUAUUGAUUUAUUUAUCACUUCCUUAACUUCAUUUUAUAAUCUUUUUAGCUCUCCCAAAUGCCUCUUUCUCAAAUUUGAUUACUUCUUGUUUUUCUUAUAGAUCUAUUUCGGUCCAUUUU